rnacentral:lncRNA from 1 species
UCUAAUGUUUACAUUUAUUAUUGACAUUUAAUUUUUAAAGAAUAUCCUCUUUGGUUUUGUUUUUUUGUUAAUUGUGUAGCGAAAUCUGCGAAAUUGUGAUAGCAAAUUAAAUAUGAAGUGGUUUAUCGCCUACAGAACUGAAUUAUCCGAUAGUAGUUAUCAGUUUGUGUCAAUUUGUUUAAAAAAGACCCUGCUCCCAAGGCUUUACAUUUUUCCCAUGCAAUACAUUUAAAUCAAAUAUUCAAACAAAGGCGAGAGCAAUGGAUAAAAGCCAUAAGGAGAACAGAUCUAACAGGACUAAAAUGAAAUAAAGUGGAAAGCCAGCCACUUUAGAGGACAUAAAUAAUGAAGAUUUGAUUCCAAACCAAAACAUGGGUUGCCAAAAUAAAAAGAAAAGGUGAUCUACAAUCCGAAGAGCUGAUAAAAGAAGUAAAUAUAAAGAAAAUAAUGCUGAGACUUCUCUCCAUGAUGAACCAACACCAGAUAGUUUAAAUGUAGGAACUGCUGGAACUCCAACACAAACGUGUUUGACUAGUGAAGAUUUGGAUAAACAACAAGAGUUACAGCUCCCGGAGCGAGCCGUGUCCUGUGAGAGAAACCCUGUCUGUGUAAAGAUUAGGUGAGUGGUUCGCUCCGGGAGCUGUACUUUCAUUUUCCAAAGAAAUACUUAAUAAUCUAUUAAAUGGAUAUAGCAAAGUAAAGUUAUGUGAUAAUUCUUUAAAAGGUGACAAUAAAAAGUGUCUUUAUUAUAAAGGUUUUAGAGUUCCCUUAUGUAGUUUUUAAUAAAAUCAAGCAACAUAUACCAACUAGUUCUAUAUCUGCUUUGGAACUAUGUCAACAGUAUUUGUUAAGAUCAAUUAAAUUACAACUAAACCUUCCAUUUAAAGAUAUUGCAUAUUGUUUUGGAAUAUUGAAUGGCAUCUGUUCUUCAUAUUUUAAUACAGUCAUUUGAAUAUUACAUCAAAAAUUAAAAACAAUAAUAAUCUGGCCAGAACAAGAAGUAGCACAGAAAACAGUCAUCGUUUUAAAGAGGUUUUCAGGAUAAAACAUCAGAAAUAAUAAUUGAUCAUUGAGAAACCAUCAAACUAUUUAACGCAACAGUGCUGGUCAAAUUAUUAUAUUUUAUCUUUGUUAUACAUAAUUAAUUAUUUUUCU